UACGUAGGGAGCAAGCGUUGUCCGGAAUUACUGGGUGUAAAGGGAGUGUAGGCGGGAUGGUAAGUCAGAUGUGAAAUUUAUGGGCUCAACCCAUAACCUGCAUUUGAAACUGCUGUUCUUGAGUGAAGUAGAGGUUGGCGGAAUUCCUAGUGUAGCGGUGAAAUGCGUAGAUAUUAGGAGGAACAUCAGUGGCGAAGGCGGCCAACUGGGCUUUUACUGACGCUGAGGCUCGAAAGCGUGGGGAGCAAACAGG
rnacentral:rRNA from 1 species